rnacentral:rRNA from 1 species
UGUGUACUGUCUUCUCCAGGUCUUUCCUUCUGGUUCUCAUUUGGGGUUUACUCCAUUUGUUGAUCCAGGAUUUUUACUUUGAAAAAAUUAGAGUGUUCAAAGCAGGCGUUUUGCUCGAAUAUAUUAGCAUGGAAUAAUAGAAUAGGACGAUUGGUUCUAUUUUGUUGGUUUCUAGGACCAUCGUAAUGAUUAAUAGGGACGGUCGGGGGCAUCAGUAUUCAGUUGUCAGAGGUGAAAUUCUUGGAUUUACUGAAGACUAACUACUGCGAAAGCAUUUGUCAAGGACGUUUUCAUUAAUCAAGAACGAAAGUUAGGGGAUCGAAGAUGAUCAGAUACCGUCGUAGUCUUAACCAUAAACUAUGCCGACUAGGGAUCGGGCGGUGCCUUUUAUUGGCCCACUCGGCACCUUACGAGAAAUCAAAGUUUUUGGGUUCUGGGGGGAGUAUGGUCGCAAGGCUGAAACUUAAAGGAAUUGACGGAAGGGCACCACCAGGAGUGGAGCCUGCGGCUUAAUUUGACUCAACACGGGGAAACUCACCAGGUCCAGACACAAUAAGGAUUGACAGAUUGAGAGCUCUUUCUUGAUUUUGUGGGUGGUGGUGCAUGGCCGUUCUUAGUUGGUGGAGUGAUUUGUCUGCUUAAUUGCGAUAACGAACGAGACCUUAGCCCUUAAAUAGAGUUGCUGGCAUUUGCUGGUAAAUCUUCUUAUGGGGACUAUCGA